UACAGAGGUCCCGAGCGUUGUCCGGAAUUAUUGGGCGUAAAGAGCUUGUAGGCGGUCUGUCGCGUCUGCUGUGAAAAUCCGGGGCUCAACCCCGGACUUGCAGUGGGUACGGGCAGACUAGAGUGUGGUAGGGGAGACUGGAAUUCCUGGUGUAGCGGUGAAAUGCGCAGAUAUCAGGAGGAACACCGAUGGCGAAGGCAGGUCUCUGGGCCACUACUGACGCUGAGAAGCGAAAGCAUGGGGAGCGAACAGG
rnacentral:rRNA from 1 species